rnacentral:rRNA from 1 species
CAGUCGCCGCGGUAAUACGAAGGGUGCAAGCGUUAAUCGGAAUUACUGGGCGUAAAGCGUGCGUAGGCGGUUUGUUAAGUCUGUUGUGAAAUCCCCGGGCUCAACCUGGGAAUGGCAAUGGAUACUGGCAAGCUAGAGUGUGUCAGAGGAUGGUGGAAUUCCCGGUGUAGCGGUGAAAUGCGUAGAGAUCGGGAGGAACAUCAGUGGCGAAGGCGGCCAUCUGGGACAACACUGACGCUGAGGCACGAAAGCGUGGGGAGCAACCAGGAUUAGAUACCCCUGUAGUCCCUGUCUCUUAUAC